rnacentral:rRNA from 1 species
UACGUAGGAUGCAAGCGUUGUCCGGAUUUACUGGGCGUAAAGCGCGCGCAGGCGGUCCUUUAAGUCUGAUGUGAAAGCCCACGGCUCAACCGUGGAGGGUCAUUGGAAACUGGGGGACUUGAGUGCAGAAGAGGAAAGCGGAAUUCCACGUGUAGCGGUGAAAUGCGUAGAGAUGUGGAGGAACACCAGUGGCGAAGGCGGCUUUCUGGUCUGUAACCGACGCUGAGGCGCGAAAGCGUGGGGAGCAAACAGG